rnacentral:rRNA from 1 species
CCUACGGGAGGCAGCAGUGAGGAAUAUUGGUCAAUGGACGAGAGUCUGAACCAGCCAAGUAGCGUGAAGGAUGACUGCCCUAUGGGUUGUAAACUUCUUUUAUAUGGGAAUAAAAUGUUCCACGUGUGGGAUUUUGUAUGUACCAUAUGAAUAAGGAUCGGCUAACUCCGUUCCAGCAGCCGCGGUAAUACGGAGGAUCCGAGCGUUAUCCGGAUUUAUUGGGUUUAAAGGGAGCGUAGGUGGAUUGUUAAGUCAGUUGUGAAAGUUUGCGGCUCAACCGUAAAAUUGCAGUUGAAACUGGCAGGCUUGAGUACCGUAGAGGUGGGUAGAAUUCGAGGUGUAGCGGUGAAAUGCGUAGAGAUCACGAAGAAUACCGGUGGCGAAGGCAGCUCACUGGAC